UUCUCUUCCUCCCGCCGAACCCUAGGCGCAUCUUCUCCUCUUACUCCCGCCUCAGCUCUCUCCUCCCUCCUUCGCCGCCGUAGCUCGGCUUCCUGACUAUUUUCCCCUCGGCCUGCUCGCGCUCUGGGUGGCGCGCCGCCACCGCCGCCGGCAGCCGUCAAGAGAUGGCCGAGGCGGCCGCGCUGCUCUAGGUGGCGCGCCGCCUCCGCCGCCGGCAGGAGGGAGCCGCGGUGGCCUCCGCGCAGCCCGACUAGGAGCUCCCCGGCGAGCAGCCGUUCCCCUACGAGAAGAAGGUGAGGAGGACACGCCCCUGCGUCAAGAGAUCCGUCAAGAGAUGCUCGCGCCGGGAGAGGAAUCCACGUCUGCUCCUGCUGCUCGACUGAUUCCAGAUCGAGGGACGCCUGCUUCUGCUCGCUACGGGCGGCGCCCGCCGGCCACGCAGGUCAUGUCUCCUUCCUUCAUCCUUCAUCUGCAAAACGUGCCAAGAAAGACGAAUUUAUUCACCUGCAUUUUUCUCGGUCAUUUUGGGCGCAGAAGUAGACUCAGCGGACAUUAUGUCGUGGACGAACUGUAGGCGGCUCAGCGGACAUUGACACAAGAAAGUGGCAAGGCCAGCUCCAUGUUCCUCUAGCAGAACUGGACCACCAAUCGUUAUAGUUCUGGUCUCAGGAAGCAGGAUGAAUUGGUCCAUCAACGAACACUUUUGCUGCAGAUCUUGGCAGCUAAAAGAGAACUGACUAGGCCCCGGUCAUCUCCACCCCUGAUGGUGCUCCUAGAUGUGCUACACGUCGCCUCCUCGUCUCCUUGGCCGCUUCGCUGCCAGUGGCGUUCGUGCUCGUCGGCGGGACGGUGCAAGGCGCAACUCCGACGUGGUUCCUCGCUGGUUGGACGGUGUUCAGGUGCAACCCCGGCGCCCACUGAGUACUGCCUCGGCUACAACCUCCCUCGGUGAGCUCCACCUUCCCCUGCUCUGCCUCGGCUACUGUAUGGGACAUGGACAGGGCUAUGAUGAUCAGUUAUGGCUGAUAUAGGCAUGCUCUCGAGCAAUCGAGGCACUUGUGGGUAUUAAUUUGGAUCCUCCCUCGUUUCUUUGAGUCAUUUUGAUCACGUUCUUAUUUUAGUGGCUCCUGCCCUUGGAUGGUCAUUUCUGAUGAGUGAUAACCAGGGCAGUUUCACCCUCGUGAGAACAUAUUGAUCUGGUGAUCCAUCCAGAAAUAAGACCCGUGGCAAGUUCCCUGGUUCCUCAGAGCUCAGGCACUUUCGGCCGUCAGAUCGAUUUCCUGAUGCGAUUCUAGCCGUCGGAUCUCGCUCCGGAUUGAUCUCGGCCAUUGGGUCGAGCUCGAGCUCCUGUAGCAAUGAAUAGUUACUCCCGUGGUGAGAUAUCUCGUGCCAUCGCGUGUGAAUCACGUGCCCCAUCGGCCGGAAGCCAUUCUUGCUAGGGCGAUGAUGAUUAACCGUCGCUGAAAUAAGUGUGCCUUUGAGCAAUCGAGUUACCUGUGGGUAUCAAGUUGGAUCGUCCCUCUUGUCUCUAGAAUCCUUUUUGAUCCUGUGAUACUUAUUGUUCUGUCCUUGGAUGGUCAUUCUUGUUCAGUGAUAACCAGGGCAGCUCUACUGUAUAAACAGAUUGAUCUGGUGAUAAGAGAUGAUGGGGGUAGGUUAUAUGAUCGAGGAAAGGCGAAUCUGAGCCCACUAUGCAAUAAAACUGCAGCUACCUCCCCUAAUGUGUGUAGUAUUGAAGGAAAAAAAGAACUUUUCAUGUCUUCCUACUUUAAAAUUCAAAAAGGUUCAUUCUUCCUUUGCUGGUUACUUAACCAUGAUUUUUGUUUUGCUUUGGUUCUGGUUGAGAUACUAAAGGUUGUUUAUAUACGAAAAGAACAAACACUUGUGUUUUUGUAUGCCUCAACUGUUGCUUAGGAUCCAGUGUUGUAGUGCUUUGCCUAAUUACAAAUAACUCUAAUCAAUAAUAGUGGUUCUUUCCUUCUGAUUUGAACUGAGAGAGAUCCACCGAUUCUUGAUCUUAAGGUGACCCCAUUUUUCUAUGCCUCAUGCUCAUGCUGCUCUAUGUUCCCUUUUAAAAAUUCUUGCUUGCAUUUUGGGUUGGUUUCUGCUCUAUGUUCUCUUUUAGCGUUUCUUUCCGUUGUUGCUGCACUCCCUUUUGGGCGUUCAUUUCAUGCCCAGGAUCUUGCAAAUUGUGCCUGUGCCGAGCUUGCUUUAGAGUACGGGCUGCGGAGACGUCGAGGACCUCAAGGUCACCGAUGUUGUGGAGCUGGACGAGGUUUCCGUGCAGUUCAUCGACCGCCUGUUCUUCCUGGAGAAGGUGAGAAAUCGUCAUCGAUCCAGCAAGCUAGCUCUUCGCCAUGCAUGGAGAUUGAUUGCAGACAGUCCUUAACAACAACCCUUACUUUUCUGGGCCCUAAUGUAAGAUCAAUCAUGCCUGUUACUUCAAGCUAGAGUGUACUCUGAAGUAAUCUGAAGUCUGAAGAUUUGAUAGCUCUGGAUCAUUAUCAUGCAUGUUGCAACGGCCGUGACGGCGUCGAGGCUCGGCCGUGUGGCCGUCGACGUGGAGCAAGCAGAGGAGGAGCGACUACUACUCCAACGGCAGCCUCUUCUCCCUUGUCCACGUUCGGUCGGUGCCGUGGCGGAGGGUUGUCUUGUGGUUUGACCGGAGCGGGGGCACACCAAAGAAGCGAUCUCGUCCCCAUUGGUCAGAUUAUCCAACCCCCUCUGCUUCUGUACAAUUUUGUCGACUUAUCUGGCAUUUUCUCGGCCGUGUGGAACCAGCACAUCUACCUGCGAAUCUCCAGGCUAUGGUACCAGCGGGGUGGCUUCGAUGAUGGCCCUAUCAAGAGUAUACAUGUGUGCUCUUCUAUAGGGAAAUCAUGCCAACGAGACGGUGCCUAAUGAGGUCAUAGACAUGUUUGUGGACACUUUGCAUGAGAGAAAUUUAUACAAGUGUGCCAGGAUCCAUGUGAGGUUCCCUGUAACAAUUCUGAGGGCAGUGGAAGGCACGUAUACGUUAUGGUUCACUAGAUCAACAAUUGUCUAUCACCUUGAGGGUGUUCCAUUUGGUCAAGUUUGUUAACAUGCUUAGUUGCUUCUUCUUUAUUAUGUUUCUGCUCCAAUACCUUUCUCAUAUUAUAUCACUUUUGUUAUUAACCAUCGUAUCGAAUGGCUGCGCUUUUGAUUUCGAGCUUCCUGUCGAGUGACUUUUUUUAAAUCUAAUGAACGAACUGAGAUCGAUUAUGCCUUA